rnacentral:rRNA from 1 species
UACAGAGGUCUCAAGCGUUGUUCGGAUUCAUUGGGCGUAAAGGGUGCGUAGGCGGCGCGGUAAGUCGGGUGUGAAAUCUCGGAGCUUAACUCCGAAACUGCAUUCGAUACUGCCGUGCUUGAGGACUGGAGAGGAGACUGGAAUUUACGGUGUAGCGGUGAAAUGCGUAGAUAUCUGGAGGAACACCGGUGGCGAAGGCGGCAUCCUGGACCGACACUGACGCCGAGGAGCGAAAGCCAGGGGAGCAAACGGG